GACGGAGGGCGCAAGCGUUGUUCGGAAUUACUGGGCGUAAAGCGCGGGCAGGUGGUCCGUUAAGUCGUCUGUGAAAACCCGGGGCUCAACCCCGUGGAAUGCAGGCGAAACUGGCGGACUAGAGAUCGGUAGAGGCUAACGGAAUUCCUGGUGUAGCGGUGGAAUGCGUAGAUAUCAGGAAGAACACCAGUGGCGAAGGCGGUUAGCUGGGCCGAGUCUGACACUCAUCCGCGAAAGCGUGGGGAGCAAA
rnacentral:rRNA from 1 species